rnacentral:rRNA from 1 species
GUCUUUUUGAUUUUAAUUUAAAGUUUAACCUGCCCAUUGAAAAUUUUUAAAAGGCUGCGGUAUUUUGACUGUACAAAGGUAGCAUAAUCAUUAGUUUUUUAAUUGAAAACUUGUAUGAAUGGUUGAAUGAGAAAUUAACUUUUUUAAAAAAAUAAUUGAAUUUUACUUUUUAAUUAAAAGGUUAAAAUAAAUUUAAAAGACGAGAAGACCCUAUAGAGUUUUAUAAUUUUUAUUUAAUAUUUAAAAAGAUUAAUUAAAAUUUUAUAAAAGAAAAUAUUUUGUUGGGGUGAUAAUAAAAUUUAAAUAACUUUUAUUUUUUUUUACAUUAAUAUAUGAAUUUAUGAUCCAUUAUUUAUGAUUAGAAAUUUAAAUUACCUUAGGGAUAACAGCGUAAUUUUUUUUUAAAGUUCAUAUUAAUAAAAAAUUUUGCGACCUCGAUGUUGGAUUAAGAUUUAAUUUUAGGUGCAGCAGUUUAAAUUUUAAGUCUGUUCGACUUUUAAAUUCUU